rnacentral:lncRNA from 1 species
UGAGCCAUCCUGCUGGCUCUUGUUGCGAUUCUAAAUCCACUCUCAUUAGAAGAUAUUUUGGCCUGAAAGAAUUUGAUAUUCACUGGGCUUGGUGGUAUACAUCUUUAGUCCCAGCACUUGGGAAGUAGAGGCAGGUGGAUCUCGGAGUUCAAGGACAGCCUGGGCUACACAGUAAAAUUUUCUUUUGGAAAAAAAAAACAAAAAAAAAAAACAAAAAAAAACAAAAAACAAAAAAGAAUUUGAUAUUUAUACAAAGAUCAAAAGUGACCAAGUACCCUACCAAGCUAAGUACCUGUGGAGCAUUCUUCAGAAAUGGACAUUAAAACUAAGAGUGGCAAAACAUUUAAAUUUUGACACAGGAUCUUGUCACAUAACCUAGGCUGGCCUCACAUGUGCUAUGUAGACCAGGCUGGCCUUGAUCUCAUGAUCCCUGCCUCAGUGUCCUGAGGUGGUGUUCCACAGGUGCUGCCACAUCCAGCCCAAAGCUCUUACACGUUCAUCAGCUUCCUCUGAAACUCGAAAGUGAGGGCACACUUCAGAUUUCAAGGCACACCCAGCUACGUUUAACUUCUAAAACUAGAGAUUGGGUUCCUGGGUGCUCCAGUGCUUCAGUGAAGAGUGUAGGAGGCAGGAGACUGGCAAACUGUCUGGCCUUUGAAAAACCGUGAGUUAUCGACUGUUCUCAACCCCAACUACCUGACACCAGGUACCUCAUAUUGUGACAGCACAGUCAUUUUAAAUGCAAACUUGUU